UGCUCCUCCCCUCUCUGCAGGAGUGAGGGGCCACCCCGCAGAGCCCGAGCCCUGAGCAGGGCCUGCCAUGGCCAGAAGCAGAGCUGACAGCCGCCCCAGGCCCCGCAGCCUGGCUCCACAUCGCACCGCGCCGUAGCUUUGUGCAGACACAAAUAAAGGGCUGGAACCUCCCGUGUG